GUGCUCGCUUCGGCAGCACAUACACUAAAAUUGGAAUGAUACAGAGAAGAUUAGCAUGGCCCCUGCACAACGAUGACACACAAAUUUGCGAAGCAUUCCAUAUUAAA